rnacentral:rRNA from 1 species
AAUUACCCACUCCCGGCACGGGGAGGUAGUGACAAAAAAUAACGAUACGGGACUCAAUUGAGGCCCCGUAAUCGGAAUGAGUACACUUUAAAUCCUUUAACAAGGAUCCAUUGGAGGGCAAGUCAGGUGCCAGCAGCCGCGGUAAUUCCUGCUCCAAUAGCGUAUAUUAAAGUUGUUGCGGUUAAAAAGCUCGUAGUUGGUUCUGCGUGCCACGCUGUCGGUUCGCCGCCUGCCGGUGCUACUGGCAUGUCGUGGCAUGUCCUGUCGGUGGGUGUUCGGAGCCUCGUGCGGGCGGCAGGAGGCAGAGCUUGUCUUUGUUUCCUCCUGCACGUCGGCGGGUUCACUCCGGCUCCCUACUAUCCUACCUAGGUGCUCUUCACCGAGUGUCGAGGUAGGCCGACACGUUUACUUUGAACAAAUCAGAGUGCUUAAAGCAGGCUGAAAAAUUCUGCCUGAAUGAUGGCGCAUGGAAUAAUAAAACAGGACCUUGGUUCUAUUUUGUUGGUUCUUAGGAACACAAGGUAAUGAUCAAUAAGGACAGGCGGGGGCAUUCGUAUUGCGGGGUUAGAGGUGAAAUUCUUGGAUCCUCGCAAGACGACCGAGAGCGAAAGCAUUUGCCAAGUAUGUCUCGAUUGAUCAAGAACGAAAGUUAGAGGUUCGAAGGCGAUCAGAUACCGCCCUAGUUCUAACCAUAAACGAUGCCAGCCAGCGAUCCGCCGAUGUUCCUCCGAUGACUCGGCGGGGAGCUUCUCCCCGGGAAACCAAAGCUUUUGGGUUCCGGGGGAAGUAUGGUUGCAAAGCUGAAACUUAAAGGAAUUGACGGAAGGGCACCACCAGGAGUGGAGCCUGCGGCUUAAUUUGACUCAACACGGGAAACCUCACCAGGUCAGGACAUUGUAAGGAUUGACAGAUUGAUAGCUCUUUCUUGAUUCAGUGGGUAGUGGUGCAUGGCCGUU